rnacentral:rRNA from 1 species
UACGAAGGGUGCAAGCGUUGUUCGGAAUCAUUGGGCGUAAAGCGCGCGCAGGCGGAUCGAUAAGUCAGGUGUGAAAUCUCGGGGCUCAACCUCGUAACUGCGCCUGAAACUAUUGGUCUAGAAUGUCGGAGGGGGUAGGGGAAUUUCACGUGUAGGGGUAAAAUCCGUAGAGAUGUGAAGGAACACCGGUGGCGAAGGCGCCUACCUGGACGACUAUUGACGCUGAGGCGCGAAAGCGUGGGGAGCAAACAGG